rnacentral:rRNA from 1 species
GAUGAACGCUGGCGGCGUGCUUAACACAUGCAAGUCGAACGAGUAAAGCAUCUUCGGAUGUGUAUAGAGUGGCGAACGGGUGAGUAACACGUGACCAACCUGCCUCUCGCACCGGGAUACCUUGGCGAAAGCCAUGCUAAUACCGGAUACGAUCCUAAUAAGGCAUCUUGUUAGGAUGAAAGCUUUUGCGGCGAGAGAUGGGGUCGCGGCCCAUCAGGUAGUUGGCGGGGUAGCGGCCCACCAAGCUUACGACGGGUAGCCGGACUGAGAGGUCGAUCGGCCACAUUGGGACUGAGAUACGGCCCAG